ACCAUUAAUAGGGUAGUGAGGGCAUUGUGU
rnacentral:piRNA from 1 species